rnacentral:lncRNA from 1 species
AUCUUGAGCAUUCUGAGUAGAUCGCCAGCAUUAAUAAGUAAGUCGAAAUAACACCCUGGUGAGCCUGAUAUGAUUCUAUUCACUUUACUGAUAGAUAAACAGCGACCUCAGGAGGGUCCUGCCUGGGGGAAGGGUCUGCGAUGGCCUGGGAAGCUGAGGAGUCCUGCCCCUCCUGCCCCUAGGUGCAACCCCUUGGGGCCCUGCUGCCCCUCAGUAGGCAGAGGCCCAGGGAUGGCAGAGGAUACCCUUCCAGAGUGCUCGGGAGGAAGACCACAGCCCUACCUUCUGCCUGGCAUGCGUACCACCCCCAGCAGGACCUUGGCACAUGGAGACGCAGCAGCAGGAAGCCUCAUCUGUGGAAGACAUGGCUGUCUGUCCCUCUGCACCACCUGCAGCUUCAGACCCUGUUCUGUGCCUUUCUGCAUUGUACUCAGGGAUGCUGGCGAUGCUACGAUGAUCUUCCAUUUGGCCCUCACUUGCAUUCAAGAGUGA